rnacentral:rRNA from 1 species
UACGUAGGGGGCAAGCGUUGUCCGGAAUCAUUGGGCGUAAAGGGCGCGUAGGCGGCGCAACAAGUCACUUGUGAAAUCUCCGGGCUUAACCCGGAGCGGUCAAGUGAUACUGCCGCGGCUCGAGCACUGUAGAGGCAGGCGGAAUUCCGGGUGUAGCGGUGGAAUGCGUAGAGAUCCGGAAGAACACCGGUGGCGAAGGCGGCCUGCUGGGCAGUUUAGCUGACACUGAGGCGCGACAGCGUGGGGAGCAAACAGG